UACGAAGGACCCAAGCGUUAUCCGGAUUCAUUGGGUUUAAAGGGUGCGUAGGCGGAUUGAUAAGUCAGUGGUGAAAGCCUGCAGCUUAACUGCAGAAGUGCCAUUGAUACUGUCGAUCUUGAAUAUGUUUGAUGUGGGCGGAAUAUGACAUGUAGCGGUGAAAUGCUUAGAUAUGUCAUAGAACACCGAUUGCGAAGGCAGCUCACAAAGCCAUUAUUGACGCUGAGGCACGAAAGUGUGGGGAUCAAACAGG
rnacentral:rRNA from 1 species